rnacentral:rRNA from 1 species
CAGCCGCCGCGGUAAUACGAGGGGGGCAAGCGUUGUUCGGAAUUAUUGGGCGUAAAGGGUGCGUAGGCGGCUUGACAAGUCUUGUGUGAAAUCUAUGGGCUCAACCCAUAGUCUGCACGGGAAACUGUCGGGCUUGAGAAUGGGAGAGGUGAGUGGAAUUUCCGGUGUAGCGGUGAAAUGCGUAGAUACCGGAAGGAACACCUGUGGCGAAAGCGGCUCACUGGACCAUUUCUGACGCUGAUGCACGAAAGCUAGGGGAGCAAACAGGAUUAGAUACCCCCGUAGUCCCUGUCUCUUAUAC